rnacentral:tRNA from 1 species
AGAGAGGUGGCCGAGUGGCUUAAGGCGCACGCUUGGAAAGCGUGUAUACGUUAAUAGCGUAUCGAGGGUUCGAAUCCCUUCCUCUCUGC